UAAUUUUUUUAUAAAAAAUCAAUUUUUUUUUGGGUUUAUCAAUCCCGAACACCCCACUGAAACAUAACCACAGAACGUUAUCAGAUCAAGUGAAUAACGAUGCUUCUAAAAAAAAAAUGGUUUUAUUGUUUUUCUGUGAAAUUUGACAAUAGUGUGUUACGUUAUUGUAAAGCGCGCAAACAGAGUUUCAUUCAUAAGAGAAAAUUGUGAUAAUUUCAUGGAGUUAUCAUAGAUUUUAGUGCAAAUUCCUGCCUUCAUAUCAACAAGACGGCUGCUGCUUCCUCCCUUUUGGAUGCCGAUACUUCUAUCAACAUCUUCAGGCCCCUCCAUGUCGUGUAAAGAAUAUUUGGAUAAGGUGUCUGAUCGAUCUUUCUUCAUUUUUUAUGAGCAGCAUCUUCUCCCCUUUACCGUUUUUCUUCCUCCAAUCCAUCGGUUCCUUUAUUAAAGUUUUGCGUCAUCCCACCACCGCUGUCUCGAUAGAAAAAACAUUCUUUUUGAAAAGGGCUGCCGAAUCCUUUGUUUCUUGAAGCUUUUCUUCUUUGCCAGCAACUUGUUCUUAAAUCCAGAAAGGGCUUGUUUUAUGUGCAUAAUUAACGAUGAACUGGGGGCUUCGCAUCUCAAUGAGACAGGCUGUGGUGAAAAAGAAAGAGAAAACAAGGGAUUAAAAUAUGGGGAGGAGGUCAAAGGAUAGAAAUGUGAUGUGGAAGCUGCGUCGAGGGACAAAGUGGUGUAAAAAUGGCUUUAGGUUUUAUGCCUUAUCAAGAUAUGGUUGUUGAAAGUGCUUUUUUUUAAAUUUAACUUUUCUAAUUUUAUUCUCAUUUUAUCUCUGUCUAGAUUAACGUACCCAAAUUGCCUUCAAUGCUAGUGAUUUUAUUUUAAACUAAAUGUUGUUCGAUCAUGAUAUCCAGGGGCC
rnacentral:lncRNA from 1 species